rnacentral:rRNA from 1 species
UGCCAGCAGCCGCGGUAAUACGGGGGGUGCAAGCGUUAAUCGGAAUUACUGGGCGUAAAGCGCGCGUAGGCGGAAUGUUAAGUCUCAUGUGAAAGCCCUGGGCUCAACCUGGGAACUGCAUGAGAUACUGGCAUUCUAGAAUACAGUAGAGGGAGGUGGAAUUUCAGGUGUAGCGGUGAAAUGCGUAGAGAUCUGAAGGAACAUCAGUGGCGAAGGCAGUCACCUGGCAUCAUACUGACGCUGAGGCGCGAAAGCGUGGGUAGCGAACAGGAUUAGAUA